GCCAUGAUACACCUGCUAGCUGAAGCGGUAGUCCUAAACAUUACAGAAGCUGUUACUAGCUAGCUCAGAAGACAACCCGUAACCUUGGCACUGUCCAGCCCAACCAAUCUGUUUAACUACAGUAUCCUGCCCACAUUUUGAGUGGUACAGGGCGUUAAUUUAUCUCCACUUGGUAUCACAACCUAGACUAGCUUUAAUAACAUUUCCGAACAAUAGACAAGCAAUGCUCCACAGAAAAAGGCCCAUGGUUCAGCCAGCGCUUGAGAAGGAGUUAACCCAAUGCACGAUUUACGCAGCGCUCGCCAACUGCAACUCUUUUUAAAGUCAGGGCAGCAAGUUCUUUAGAGACAAACUGUGUAAAUCAUGGAUUACGGGGAGGGAACCCACUGCAUACAGAUUCACGUCAAGGACGUCCCAGCAGACUCCUGUCAGGAAACAAGUAAACCUACGAACCUCCAUAGAGAACAUCAAGAAAAUGUUAGAUUAUCUCGCACCCGAGCCCGGAGCCGGUUCUCCCUACGGGACAAUUAAGGUGGUGAAACAAAUGUGGGAAAGAGUCUGGAAAUAUCCCAGGCCUCUCUGGGGUGUCAGAGAUCAAGACAGGAAAGUAACCAAGGGAGCCCGCCGCCAUGAUGAAAACACACCUCGUAACGUCUCCACCUUGGAAACAGUUCUUCAGAACAACCUUCACUAGCUUUCCCUCACGAGACUUGCAACCAAAUAAUACAAUUUGAACACACGAGAACUCACCUCAUCGUACCUCUGCAAGAAAGGAUUGACACAAUCAUUUCGAUGGCUUUAUUUGCUUCGAGACGUUUUUGACGAGAGGAAUCAAGAAUCUGGGAACAAUGUGAGACAGAGCAAAAAAAAAAUCUAUUUGCCGAUAGCUGAUCUUUAUCAUUCACAUGCCUCACCACUUUCUGCCUGGUCUUCAGGGGCUGAUCCAUCCCCAGCCUGCUACUGAGCUGGUCAGAAAAUCCAAUAAACCUGGGAUUCGUUU